AAUAGAUACCCGGGUAGUCCACGCUGUAAACUUUGGAUACUAGGUGUGGCGGACUACCAACGUCUGCCGUGCCGAAGCUAACGCAUUAAGUAUCCCGCCUGGGGAGUACGGCCGCAAGGCUAAAACUCAAAGGAAUUGACGGGUCCCCGCACAAGCGGCGGAGCAUGCGGCUUAAUUCGAUGCAACCCGAAGAACCUUACCUGGGAUUGACAUCAUGGGAAAAGCUCUAGAAAUAGGGUGUCCGUAAGGGCCCAUGACAGGUGGUGCAUGGCUGUCGUCAGCUCGUGUCGUGAGAUGUUGGGUUAAGUCCCGCAACGAGCGCAACCCUCGUUCUAUGUUGCCGAGCGGUUCGGCCGGGGACUCAUAGAAGACUGCCGGGGAUAACUCGGAGGAAGGUGGGGACGACGUCAAGGUCAUCAUGCCCCUUAUAUCCAGGGCUGCACGUCAUGCUACAAUGGCCGGUACAACGGGCAGCGACCGUCGCGAGAGUGGAGCGGAAUCCUUUAAAAGGCCGGCCCCAGUUCGGAUUGAACGUCUGCAACUCGUA
rnacentral:rRNA from 1 species